AAUCAGAAGGUUCAGUCGUAUGCAAAUGAAUACACUGAUGGGAACAUUUAGAAAUGGAAAACAGCAGGAAAGUUCAACUUGUUGAGUGCAACAACAUGACACUAUAGAUGUUUAUUUUGCACUAAAUUUAAUGCACCACUGAACAUUGCAGUUCAAUUCAAUUUUCUAGGAAGCUUAGCAGCAUGGCACAUCAUGACUAAAAGAUUGUAGCAUACGGAUUAAAGAGAGGAGUUUUAUCACAUUGAAGAAUUACUACACGUGCAAAGACUGGAUGCUAGCUCACCUACAUGUGGCAGGUUAACUGCAGUCGUCGCCGCCGGAGUCGAGCCCUGCGAGGAGGACGAGUGGGAGGAGGACCCGGCGUAGCGGUCUCGUCAUUGGCGGCACUGGGGCAUGAGGUGGGGAGAAUGGGCAGCGCGGAGAGGGAGGUGGGGUUUGGGUCUGGCUCACGGGAAGCCUCAGGAAGUCUCACCAGCUCAUCAUCAUCCUUUUUUUUUUUUGCUCCGUUGCUGAUCAACGGCGGAGACGGUCUGUUCACACCUGAUCCAGCCAUUAAGAUCGCGACACCUGGACCAAUCGGCGAUGGCAAAAGCCACGGCCUUUAGAGUAUAGAGAUGCGAGAGAAAAUGAGAGUGAAAUCAAUUCUUUCAUUCAUAAUCUUGAUUAUAUUUGUACAUGUUCAA